AUGUCCAGAGCCCUUGAUGUCCUGCAAAUGAAGGAGGAAGAUGUCCUCAAGUUCUUUGAAGCAGGAAGCCACUGAGGUGGCAGCAACCUUGACUUCCAAAUGGAACAGUACUUCUACUAAAGGAAGAGUGAUGGCAUCUACAUCAUAAAUCUGAAGAGGACCUGGGAGAAGCUUCUGCUAACAGCAUGUGCCAUUGUCUGUCAGCGUCAUAUCCUCCAGGAAUACUGGCCAGUGGGCCAUGCUAAAGCUUGCUGCUGUCCCUGGGGCCACUCCUAUUGAUGGAUGCUUCAUUCCUGGAGCCUUCACUAACCACAUCCAGGCAGCCUUCUGGGAGCUGCGUCUCCUGGUGGUUACUGAUCCCAGGGCUGACCAGCAGCCUUUCACAGAGGCAUCUUAUGUUAUGCUGCCUACCAUCGCUCUGUGUCACACAGAUUCUCCUCUGCGCUAUGUGGAUAUCGCCAUCCCAUGCAACAACAAGGGAGCAGACUCAGUGGAUCCGAGUUCUGCCCAUGCAUGGCACCAUCUCCCAAGAACCACCAUGGGAGGUCAUGCCUGAUCUCUACUCCUACAGAGAACCUGAAGACAUGAAAAGGAAGAGCAGGCUGCUGUUGAAAAAACUGUGACCAAGGAGGAAUUUCAGGGAGAAGGGACUGCUCCAGCUCCUGAGUUCACUACUACUCAAGCUGAGGUUGCAGACUGGUCUGAAGGCGUGCAGGUGCCUCUGUGCCUAUUCUGCAGUUCCUGCUGAAGACUGGAGUGCUCAGCCUGCCAUGGAAGACUGGUGUGCAGCUCCCACUGCUCAGGCCACUGAAUGGGUAGGAACAACCAUUGAGUGGUCUUAAGCUGUUCUUCCACAGGCCCUUAAGCAAGAUGGAAAUAAGACUGACAGAAAAUAAACACCAGUU